rnacentral:snoRNA from 1 species
GUAUCCAUGGUAUGGGCAUUAUAGUAAAAGUGAUUUGAAGCGAUCCCAUGCUCCAUUAAAGGAUUCAGUAUCCUUUUGAUAAAAGUUGAAAAUUUCAGCCCUUAAUUC